CUGAAGUCAGACAAUGGCGGCCGAACCCGCGGGACUCCAUAGCGUCACUCAUUACAGAGCGCUACUGGUUAGCGCUAAUGCUAGCUGGGUUGGCUCUUUAAUGUCACUUACAGAGCCAACGUUGCUAGCAUUAGAGCGCUACAGGUUAGCUCUGAUGCUAGCAGGUGCUUCCUGACCAGAGCUAUUCUCUCAGGAGGCUAAGAGGCUAAGUUUAGCUCUGCUCCAGAGGGCAGCUGACGGCUCCGAACUCAUUUCCUGCUGCUCCUCUUCACAGGUGUCCCCGAAGAACCAGCAGAUGGCGGGUCGGUGGAAUACGCUCAGCUGAACAACGACAGUGGACGUACCAGCGGUCAUCGUACCAGUGGUGAUCUUAACAACGGUCUUCCUGCCGGCGGUAGCGUCCCGCCUGACAGCGUCGACUACAUCGAUGAGCUCAACAACACCGAGAGCGCCACCGAACCCGAUGCCUGCGGCCCCGACGCCCCGGGCCCCGACUGUUAGCAUGUGUUCUCGUUACCUUCUGUACUUAGUCUUUGUGUGUCUUGAAUGUAUUUUUUAAAAAGGCACGGGAAAAUCUUUCUAUAGGCCUACUAAGGACGCACCUUAUUUUUAUUUCAUUGUGGAAUGUUGAAUAAAAACAGAUUAAUUUUGAAUAAACGUUUUUUAUUCAAUCUA